UAAUUUUUAUGAUUAUUUAUUUGAAUUGCUCACUCUUCAGUUUCACCAGAGGUUGUCCCACUAGCGGGAUGCCAAGCCCUAAAAGGUUUUAAAUCAGGUUGCUGACAUUUGAUGUGGUCAAGAGUCAAAAAAGUUUCCAGUGUUGUCCCAAUUCACCUUCAUAACCUAGCUUUGGAACCAGCCUGAUGUCUGUGUUUAACAAUCUAUUUCACUUCACAUUUUAUGAUAUUUGAAGUGAAAUAGAAAGGUGAAUGCAGUGAUCAGGUUGGUUCCACCAGACUAAUCAUAACCACCAAUGAUAAUGUAAUCAGUGCUCAGUGGGUUUGUGUGUGACCAACCAGUAUCUUUGUUGAGGGGCCAGGAGCUGAUCUACUCUGCCAUGCCCAUCAAUGGGGCACUGGCAAAGAAUUUACCUUACCAAAGACAGCCUCACCUAUUGCCUGCUAACCAACGGUCGUCUAUGGCGAGACCAGAAUUGGGUAGGUUUAGUAUGACCUGUUCAAAAUUCAACAUGGUAUAUGUUUGUUUGUCAGAUAUCACCUAUCCUAACUGCCAUUGGUAAUAGAACAGUGUUCACAGAUGCAUCUAUGGAGCCAGCACUUGGAGACUUGCAAGACAAUGUGAUUGAGUCCAAACUGACAAACAGGCUUGAUACUGAUGUAUCUGAAUAGAGAGAGACCUGGCACUAUGACAGAUAGGCAUGAUACUGAUGUCUGUGAAAGGAGAGAGACCUGGCACUCUGACAGAUAGGCAUGAUACUGAUGUCUGUGAAAGGAGAGAGACCUGGCACUCUGACAGAUAGGCAUGAUACUGAUGCCUGUGAAAGGAGAGAGACCUGGCACUCUGACAGAAAGGCAUGAUACUGAUGUCUGUCAAAGGAGAGAGACCUGGCACUCUGACAGACAGGCAUGAUACUGAUGUCUGUGAAAGGAGAGAGACCUGGCACUCUGACAGAUAGGCAUGAUACUAAUGUCUGUGAAAGGAGAGAGACCUGGCACUCUGACAGACAGGCAUGAUACUGAUGUCUGUGAAAGGAGAGACCUGGCAUUCUGACAGACAAGCUUGUUACUGAUGUCUGUGAAAGGAGAGAGACCUGGCACUCUGACAGACAGACAUGAUACUGAUGUCUCUGAACUACAGGCAGAUACACUAUUAUUAUAAAAGUAUUUGAACACCCUUUCUGCAAUUUCUGCCAAACCCUUUGCUGACAGGUGUAAAAAAUUGAGCACCCAGCCAUGCAAUUUCUAUAGAGAAACAUUGGCAGUAGAAUGGCCUAACUGAAGACCUCAGUGACUUUUAACGUGGCACCGUUCUAGGAUGCCAACAAGUCAGUUUGUCAAAUUUCUGCCCUUCUAGAGCUGCCCUGGUCAAUUGUAAGUGCUGUUAUUUUGAAGUGGAAACAUAUAUGAGCAACAACAGCUCAGUUGUAGGCCACAUAAGCUCACUGAAUGGGACCGCCGAGAGCUGAAGAGUGUAGUGCCUAAAAAUCAUCUGUCCUCGGUUGCAACACUAACUGCCGAGUUCCAAACUGCCUCAUGAAGCUCCCAAACUGUUAGUCAGGAGCUUCAUGAAAUAGGUUUCUAUGGCCAAGCAGCCACACACAAUCCUAAGAUCACUAUGCUCAAUGCCAAGUCGGCUGGAAUGAUGUAAAACUUGCCGCCAUUGAACUCUGGAGCAGUGGAAACGCGUUCUCUGGAGUAAUGAAUCAUGCUUCACCAUCUGGCAGUCCAAGGACAAAUCUGGGUUUGGAGGAUGCCAGGAGAACGAUACCUGCCCCAAUGCAUAGUGCCAACUGUAAAGUUUGGUGGAGGAGGAAUAAUGGUCUGGUGCUGUUUUUCAUGGUUCGGGCUAGGCUCCUUAGUUCCUUUGAAGGGAUAUCUUAAUGACACAGCAUACAAUUACAUUCUAGAUGAUUCUGAGCUUCCAACUUUGAGGCAACAGUUUGGGGAAGGCCCUUUCCUGUUUCAGCAUGACAAUGCCCCCGUGCACAAAGCGAGGUCCAUAAAGAAAUGGUUUUGUCGAGAUCAUGUGAAAGCACUUGCCUGUCCUGCACAGAGCCCUGACCUCAACCCGAUCUAACAACUUUGGGAUGAAUUGGAACUAAGUCUGCAAGCCAGGCCUAAUCGCCCAACAUCAGUGCCCGACCUCACUAAUGCUCUUGUGGCUGAAUGGAAGCAAGUCCCCGCAGCAAUGUUCCAACAUCUAGUGGAAAGCCUUUCUCAGAAGAGUGGAGGCUGUUAAAGCAGCAAAUGGGGGAGCAACCACAUGAAUGCCCAUGAUUUUUAAAUGAGAUGUUCAACGAGCAGGUGUCCACAUACUUCUGGCCAUGUAGUGUAUACAUGGAAAUAGUUUAGAGCCUAACAUAAGGGGAUUAAUAGAUUAAAAAAAAUAUAUAUAUAUAGUUUUCUGAUCUUUCUUAUAGCUCCCAGAUAUUGGACAGGCACUUCAGAACAAACUUCCUUUAGAUUUUUUGGAGACUGUUGUUCCAUGUAAUGAAUCUGUUAUUCAAUGUGUUUCUAUUGACUAAAAGCAGUAAUGCAAAAUUGUUUCUUCCAAUAAUUUGUUUUAUAUUUUGUUAUGCCUUAAGAGGUCAUAAAAUUUUAAAUCAAAUAUCUAAAUGAUCCUUGUGUAACGAGUGCGCUGAGCAUCGGGAAGCAAGUUCAGGCAGUGAGUUUUUUAAUAAAUGAAACAAUAAAUAUGUAACACAAACAACGCACCGACAUGAAAACAGAGCCAAGAACACCGGAGGAAAGAUCCAAGGGGAGUGACAGAUAUAGGGAAGAUAAUCAAGGAGGUGAUGGAGUCCAGGUGAGUGUCAUGAGGCGCAGAUGCGCGAGAUGAUGGUGACAGACGUGCGGGAUAAUCAGCAGCCUGAUGAACUAGAGGCCAGAGAAGGCGUAUACGUGACAGUACCCCCUCCCCGACAUGCGGCUUCAGCAGCAGGACGCCAUCAAAGGGAACGAACCCAGGGAUCAGGAGCGGACCGGUCAACCCUGCUGAUGCGUGAGAACCUGUCACGCCUGCUGAGGCGCGGGAAACUGUCAGAUCGGUUGAGGCAAGGGAGCCUGGCGAUCUUGCUGAGGCAUGAGAUCCUGACGAGCAGGCUGAGGCAGGGGAGACUGGCGAUCCGGCUGAGGCAUGAGAUCCUGACGAGCAGGCUGAGGCAGGGGAGACUGGCGAUCCGGCUGAGGCAUGAAAGCCCGACGAGCUGGCUGAGGCAGGGGAGCCUGGCGAUCUGGUUGAGGCAUGAGAGCCCGACGAGCUGGCUGAGGCAGGGGAGCCUGGCGAUCUGGUUGAGGCAUGAGAGCCCGACGAGCUGGCUGAGGCAGGGGAGCCUGGCGAUCUGGUUGAGGCAUGAGAUCCUGACGAGCAGGCUGAGGCAGGGGAGCCUGGCGAUCUGGUUGAGGCAUGAGAGCCUGACGAGCAGGCUGAGGCAGGGGAGCCUGGCGAUCUGGUUGAGGCAUGAGAGCCUGACGAGCUGGCUGAGGCAGGGGAGCCUGGCGAUCUGGUUGAGGCAUGAGAGCCUGACGAGCUGGCUGAGGCAUGAGAGCCUGUAGCAGUUCCCGGACCCAACGUCAUUACUCUGACACACAAAUAAAAUGAACACUCCCUGAUGCUUCCCUUAGGUGAAGUGUUAUUCUGUAACGAUGUGCGCUGAGAGUCGGGAAGCAAGUUCAGGGAGUGAGUGUUUAAAUAAAUAAAUUAAACAAUAAACACGUAACGCAAACAAUGCACCAACAUGAAAACAGAGUCAAUAACACCUGAGGAAGGAACCAAGGGGAGAUACAGAUGUAAUGAAGAUAAUCAAGGAGGUGAUGGAAUCCAGGUGAGUGUCAUGAGGUGCAGGUGCGCAAGACGAUGGUGACAGGUGUGCGGGAUAAUCAGCAGCCUGAUGAACUAGAGGCCGGAGAGGGAGUAUACGUAACACUUUGACAUGACCAUCUUAAAACAAUUCCAUAUGUUAGCUUAGAACCCCACCGGCUUAAACUCUAGAGGGUUAUUGAUAUUGGUUAAAAUGUUAACUCAACAGAACUCCAUAUGUAUGCUGAUGACACAAUAGUCUUCUCUUUUACAUCUAAAAUUGAAAAGGAUUAGCAAGUGGCUUUUGAUUAAAAAAUCUAAAUGAUUUCAAGUUAUUGAAUACACUUGAUUUCUAAAAUUACAGGGUAUUGAUUAAGUUGCUUGUAACCCAAUUGAAUUUGGAUAGGUAAUUCCAAAUUAAAAAGUGAACUUGGAACAAAAUGUUAAAAUGUGGUGUAUUUACAUGUAUUUAUUAUUUGUUAGGUUUAACCAAAGUGGAAAAGUAGGUUGAGUGUUAAAAGGAAUAGGUUGCAACUUGAAAUAUAGAUUUGGCAUUGAAUCAUAUAUUUGGUUUCAACAAAUGUAGUUUUUUUUCAAUUGAGAUAACCUACCUAAUUUACUUGAAACCUGUUGAAGUAUUGAUUAUUUAUGUUGAUCCAAAGAGUCAUUUUGUACAGUGGAACAGACCCGAACAUGACACAUAAUAUUCAUAGCCUGUCACUAGUGUGUGAAGUCCCAUUUUCCAAAACGUUUUGGAUUGUUUCAUUAAUAGCUACUUCCCAUUCCAGUACGAUUUGGCUUUUCGACUGUCAUCCCAAACUUAAUUCCUUCUGUCAGAGAAGAGCAGCUCUGGCUGGGCGCCACACAGGUACACACACCAACACACACACACAUACACAGGAAAAGAAUCAGAAGAAACAAGGCAGGGAGCUCUGUGUGUUUAUAAGCCUCCAUUGAUAUCUCGGCUGGCAGUGUCUCUGCUGAUUGGCUGAGCUGAUGGUUCUUUGAACAGGACUCUCUGUCUCCAUUCCCCUUGAUGUGAUGUAUCAUCUCUGUGAGUGUGUGUGUUUGUGCGUGUGUGCAUGUGUGUGUGGGUACAUGUGUGUGUGCUCAGAAUAUUCCACCAGGCUCCACCGAUGUUCCUCUCUGUCACUAAAUAAUGCACAGCUCCAUCCAUGAAGAGCAGAGACGAGCCUAGCGAGUGGCUCCUACCUCCCGCUCUCAGGAAGACUAAUGAUGAGGUGGAGAUACUGGUGGAGAGUCUGAUCUGGAGGGAACCUCAUGCUGAACAAGUUGUGGCUGUACCAACCCCAACACUGAAAGACUGCAUCAACACUGCGGAGUAACUACACCAUGGAUGACUUGGACUACUGCUGGAGUAACUGAACCAUGGAUGACUUGGACUACUGCUGGAGUAACUGAACCAUGGAUGACUUGGACUACUGCUGGAGUAACCUAACCAUGGAUGACUUGGACUACUGCUGGAGUAACUGAACCAUGGAUGACUUGGACUACUACUGGAGUAACUGAACCAUGGAUGACUUGGACUACUACUGGAGUAACUGAACCAUGGAUGACUUGGACUACUACUGGAGUAACUGAACCAUGGAUGACUUGGACUACUACUGGAGGAACUGAACCAUGGAUGACUUGGACUACUACUGGAGGAACUGAACCAUGAAUGACUUGGACUACUACUGGAGUAACUGAAUCAUGGAUGACUUGGACUACUGCUGGAGUAACUGAACCAUGGAUGACUUGGACUACUGCUGGAGUAACUGAACCAUGGAUGACUUGGACUACUGCUGGAGUAACUGAACCAUGGAUGACUUGGACUACUGCUGGAGUAACUGAACCAUGGAUGACUUGGACUACUACUGGAGUAACUGAACCAUGGAUGACUUGGACUACUACUGGAGUAACUGAACCAUGGAUGACUUGGACUACUGCUGGAGUAACUGAACCAUGAAUGACUUGGACUACUACUGGAGGAACUGAACCAUGGAUGACUUGGACUACUGCUGGAGGAACUGAACCAUGGAUGACUUGGACUACUACUGGAGUAACUGAACCAUGGAUGACUUGGACUACUGCUGGAGUAACUGAACCAUGGAUGACUUGGACUACUGCUGGAGUGACUAAUAAGUCAUAUUGGCACAAUGCUGAUGGUGAUGCAUGUAGCUGAAGGGUUAGGAUGUUCCUCAUCAAUGGCUGAUGUUUCCUCCAUCCAACAGGUCCAAGCUAUCCUGUGCAUUAUAGGUUGACAUUGGGAAAACAUUAAACAAAUUGUUAUUUCAGUAGCAUCUGGUCUUGAGCAGUCUUCUUCUCACUUCCAUUUUUCUUUUGGGGUCGAGUUGAUUCAGAUCCAAGAACAGAGAAUGAUGCUUAAUGGUUUCGUCUGCAUGCUCUUUUUGUUUCUGGCGGCUGUAACGUUAGGUUGCAAGUGACUUUUACUUCUUCUCCACCUCCAGGGCAGCAGACUCCUUCGAGUAGGGGGGAUUAGCGCAAAGACAUAUCUAUCCCAUAAGGCCAGCCCAAGGCGCCUCAGGGCUAAUCCCCCUUGUUUUUGUUCAAAGUGAAAACACCACAAGAAGUGGUUUUACAUUAUAAUAUUGAGUUGCACCCCUUUUGGACCUCAGAACAGCAUACAAUUGUUGGGGCAUGAACUCUAGAAAGUGUCGAAAGCAUUCCACAGGGAUGUUGGCCAAUGUUGACCCCCAUGCUUCCCACAGUUGUGUCAAGUUGGCUGGAUGUCCUUUGGGUGGUGGACCAAUCUUGAUAGACACGGGAAACUGUUGGGAGUGAAAAACCGGUGCGCCUGGCAUCUACUACCAUACCCCAUUCCGCCUGGUCUCAUAGACUAGAUGUAACAUAGUAAACAUACAUUUUUUACUUUACCUUUAUUUAACUAGGCAAGUCAGUUAAGAACCAAUUCUUACUUUCAAUGAAGGCCUACAGGAGAACAGUGGGUUAACUGCCUUGUUCAGGGGCAGAACAACACAUUUUUACCUUGUCAGCUCAGUGAUUCGAUCCAGCAACCUUUCGGUUACUGGCCCAACGCUCUAACCAGUAGGCUACAUGCCGCCCCAGGACACUCAAAUUAGCAUGAUAUGUUAAGUUUGGUAUGGUUACAUAAGACAGAUGGUUACUUAAGGCAAAGACGAAGGUAGGGUGGGUGGGUGUAUAACACGAACAUCUAGCAACUAAAUGGUUGCGAGGUCGAAGCUCAUCACGAACAACUUUAGUAUUUUAGCAUCUUUUCAUCUAUUUACUACUUUUUAGCUACUUUGCAACUAGUUAGCAUGUUAGCUAACCCUUCCCUUAACCUUAACCCUUUUAGCCAACCCUUUCCCUAACCUUAACGCUUUAACCUAACUCCUAAACUUAACCCUAACCCUUAACCCUAACCCCUAGCCUAGCUAACGUUAGUCACCUAGCUUGAAUUUGUAACUUAACAUACCUUUUGCAAAUUUGUAGCAUAUUGUACAUUCUGGAAAUGUGUAACAUAAAAUAUGUAUUGCAAUUCAUAACAUAUAAUACGAAAUGGGCAGUGGAGACCAAUGGGAGGAGCUAUAUAGGAGGACGGGCUCAUUGUAAUGGCUGGUAUGGAAUUAGUGGAACAUAACAAACACAUCAAACAUAUUGAAACCACAUGUUUGACACUGUUCAAUUUAUUCCAUUUCAGCCAUAACAAUGAGCCCAUCCUCCUAUAGAUCCUCCCACCAGUCUCCACUGGAAAUGGGUGAUGGACAUCCUCAAAUUAAUACAUACCAUACGAAACGUAACAUAUCAUGUUAAAUGAUGUGUCUCAGAUUUACAUACAGAAAAAUACAAAAUGCUCUGAGACCAGGUUGCGUUCAAAGACACUUUUGUCUUGCACAUUCACCCUGGCACACAUCCACAAAAAUCAAUUUCUCAAUUGUCUCAAGGCUGAAAAAUGAUUCCCUUAAUUAACCUGUCUCAUCCUCUUCAUCUACACUAACUGAAGUAGAUUUAACAGGUGACAUCAAUAAGGGAUCAUAGCUUUCACCUGGAUUCACCUGGUCAAUUUAUGUCAUGGAAAGAGCAGGUGUUCCUAAUGAUUUGUCCACUCAGUGUAUGUGUCUUUGUUUAUGUAUACUAAAUCGAUCGAAGAUAAAGUGAAGAGAGAAAAGAGGAUUGUGUGCCAUAAAUGAUUGAAUCGUCAGUUUUUGUAAUGAGAUAAAAAAAACUCUUUAUGCAGACCAAACAGAAGACCACCAACCACAACUGUUUCUGCAUUCACACACACACACACACACACACACACACACACACACACACACACACACACACACACACACACACACACACACACACACACACACACACACACACACACACACACACACACACAC